rnacentral:lncRNA from 1 species
GUAAGAGGAGCAGGAACUGCCUAAAAAGUCUGCAGCAGGUUUAUCAAAUUUGAUCAGGUUCUGUAAUGCACUCAUAAACAUGCUGCUCUGGGAUAGAAAUUUUGGUUUCCAUACCUUUCUACGUUGGGAUCAAAUCCAAUAACAUAGUAUGUUAUGAAGACCCAAAUUGUUACAUUCAGCAAGGAGAGGGGAGUCUUAAUGAUCCAUGAUGGCAAGGAGUAUGUCCAUGCAGGGUAGAAGAGAAGAUCCCUUUGCUUGAAGAAAACUGGGAGCUUUGCAAUAGUUAGGCCAACUUCUGCCAGUCCAUUGAACAUGAUCAUCAGGAUCCCAAAGAACAGGGCACCCAUGUAUAUCCUUCCAUCUGUUACUGAGUCACGAUGCAUAUUGGUUCGGAGAAAGACGGUCAUCGUAAUGAGUGCCAUGAGUGUUAGCUGAACAAUAGGUAGUAAACAAAAAGGAGUUGUCAUUUAAGUUCUCAUGGUGUGGCCAACAUAAUUUGAAUCUGAAAAGCCCUGGUUCUCGAGAAUCACCUGAACUGCCUUGAAUAUGUAUACAAAGGAAUUUCUUUUCAUUAGCAAUAUCUCUCUGUCAAUAUUUGCUUUAAGUAGCUCUCUCACGCUGGCGCCAUAUUUUGAUGUUUUCAGAGCAGCAGGAUGACUCGUACUCUUGUCAAAUGGGACUGCCAACUCAUUUCGUAUAGCCUCACCAACAUGGAAAGAUUGAAAUGCUUCUGCAAACUCCUUCACGGGGACAUAUCGGUAGGUGUCAUCACCAUGUUUCCAGUAUUGUCUCUGAUCUUUCUUUGAUGUAACCUAUCACAUUUCAAUUAUUGCUCGUCAAACUUGUGCACUAAUAUACCCCAAAAAAAGAUCAGCACUACUGAAUAAUAUGAUCCUAGCAUUACAUAUUUCUGAAAUGUGUACUUCGUUAGGUAUUUCGAGAUCUUUUCUUUUUAAUUAAAUACCCUUCUAGAAAAAGCUUGAUGCAGAACUGUAAUGAAAGUACAGAACUCACUUCCUGCAGGAAGUCGGCUACACCUUUCCGCUGCGGGCAUUUGAAGCCAACUGACUCAAAGAACUCAAGAACAUAUUCACGAGGACCAUUGUAGACAACCUGACCAUCUGAGAGAAGAAUUAUAUCAUCAAACAAUUCAUAUGUCUCAGGUGCAGGUUGUA